rnacentral:lncRNA from 1 species
AACAGAGAGGCACAGACACAACUAUGUGAUUUCAUUGUCUACGGGAGACAGAAAGCCAGUGGGGCUUCUCUUAUCAAGACUAACAUCUUCCCAAUGGUUAAUCUAACUGGCUUUAAAAUGUCCCACAAAUGCAGAUCUAGGAUAACAAUCUUUCCAUAUUUCCUUUUUUUCCAUUUCAUCAUAGGCAAGAAUGAGUGAAUUGGAUUGACGUGGAGGUGAUGGAGGAAGAGAAAUGGUCUACACGUCAAAAUGACAAUGUAUAUUACAUGGUUAACAGAAUGAGUGGGGUCAUGCCUGGUGUUGUGACUGUAGUGUUGAUCACAGACCUGAAGGCAGAGUGUGCUGUGGAAGUGAAGUUUAGCAGAUCUGGGAAAUCAAGCUCUGGUUGUAAAGUUGAGUGGUGUUUUCUUCAUAUCUGGAGGGGGAUUACAGACUUGGACACACGAAUGGUAUUUCAUGGUCUAACAAAUAAAACAGUGGUUGAAAAUAUGAAAAACUGGCUGCAAGCUUGGUCCACCACAUAUUAA